UAUCCUCUCUCACUCUCUCUCUCUCUCUCUCGCAUGUCGCGUACAGGAUGCCGCUUAAAACCCUAAAACUCUCACCCGUCCGCCGCCUGCGCUUGUAAUGGCGACGGCGAUCGACGUGAAGGCUUUUCGUCUUUUCCCGUGCGUCGUUACUCAUUCCAGGUGUCCUGUCUUUGUAGCUUCGCCUCCUUGUCUCUACUCCUCCUCACCCGCCUCUUCUUCCUCUCCUCGUCGCCCGCCUUCGCCUUCGCCUUCGCCUUCGCCUUCGCCUUUCAUGUUGGCGUAUCUGAUGGAUCGCGUCGGUUACAUCGAGGAGAAGGCUACCGCCAUCGCCAACCGGCUCGCUGGAGUCACCUCCCCCGAGAGACCCGACGCUGUUCUCCGCUUCCUCCGCUCUACCGCCGGCCUCCCCCCAUUCAAAUCCGGCGUUUCGUCCGAUGCCGCCCUUGCUACCUUCUCGCCGACGACCGCUCCAGCCUCCUCCGACCGUACGACGGCCUCAGCAAGGCGCUCGCUAGACUCGUCACGGCCUGCGCCCCUUGUUUCGGAUACAGCACGAACCGCCUUUCUCUCACCAUCGACUUUUUCCGCUCCCUCUUCAGGCACAAGAACAGCAUGGUCGUCUCCUUUUUCCGUCGCUGCCCCCGCCUCCUCGCCACCGACGCUGACCAGGUGCUCCGCCGCAACCUGGACAUCCUCCGUGGGCACCCUGAUGUCGACGUGCCCACCAUUGUUUACAAGGCCCCCUUCCUCUUCCUCAAGCCCGACUGACUAGAGUCCGUCUUCCUCGUCGCCGAGAAGGAACUGGGCAUUGACCCUUCCUCGAAAGAAUAUGUCGAUGCACUCCACCUGUGCGCCUCAUUGCCCAAAGAGAGCCUCGUGAGAAGGCUGUGAAUCAUCAGGAGCUACGGCUUCAACAACGAAGAGCUGUUCACCAUGCUCCGGAGGUCUCCUCUCUUCCUGCGACUCACCGAUGAGCACAUGCGGAAGAAGCUGGAUUUCCUCGUUGGAACUGUGGGCUUAACCAAGGCCCUGCUCUCAAACACUUCGCUGCUGCUUUUCAGCCUGGACUCAAGGCUGGUGCCAAGGUAUCAGCUGCUGCAGAGCCUGCAAUCAAGAGCGUUGAUGCCCCAAAAUUUUGACUUAUUAAAGGCAUUUGCCAUUAGUCAACAGAGAUUCAAUAAGGUGUAUGUAGAAAAGUUAUGGAAUGGAGAAGGUUCAGAUCUUGUCCAGUCUUAUAUGAAGAAUCUUGGUGAACCGCUCCUGGCCCUUCAACAUUGAGUCCCGAUGCAAUGCUAUAUAUCAUUUUAGGAGUCACUUCUGCUUGUUUUGUGUGUUCUCAUAGAAAUUUUUUGCUGAUAUUUGGUAGCAAGAACGAACUACAAUCCAAUGACAUUUUCCCUGCCUUUAUUGUAGGACUUUUAGAAAUCUGUUCUGGUUCAUCCUUUGACUAUAGUUUUCAGUUAAAUGGUUUCUUGUUAUAUUUCCAGAGAUGUCUAUUGCCACUGAAACAUAAUCAUGAUGGGUGCCUGAAAGGUAUAGGUUGUUGCUUAGAUCUUUGCUUUUCAGUAAUUUCUCUUAUUAGCUCCUUGGUGCACAGUAUGCUUAACCAGAGUAGAAUGUACACAUUGACCAUGACAUUGUGAAUGAUUAACCCUUUUAGAGAAUGUGUUUUCAUGAAUCUUUGUUUGUAAGUUCUUUUCUGAAGUGCCAGCCAUUAAGGAUUUGAAAUAUUACUGAAGUUGAAUGUUUAUGAAGGGUUAGUCUUUCUUUCUUCCUGGUGAAUCCUUAGGUUUUUUUUCUCCUGCAGAAUAACUGCUUGAGCUUUCUUGUCUUCCUUUUUGUGUCUCAGCCAGCUCCUUACCGAGUGGAAGAAUUACCAAGCGGCUGCCACCUCGCCAAGCCAUCUCAUCUCUGCCUCAGGGCAACAACAAUGUUUUGUAACAGUAGAGCGGCAGAGCUGUAGUCAUCAAGCUUCGUGCUGACUAUUUUCACUAGCCAAUUGAGCGACGAUUUGAGUUACUCUUCAAGAAUUGAGUUGAAUGUGCAAUUAAUUAACCGGUUGCAGAUGAUAAUUUUCACAAUAUGCAAAUGGAUAUAUUCUUCUUCUUGCUGUGAAAAUUCGUCAAGCCUUGUGCUGACUUUUUUCACUAGCCAAUUGAGUGACCAUCGAAUUGAGUUAACUAACCAGUUGUAGAUGAUAAAUUUCACAACAUGCUAAUGGAUUGUUGAAUUGUGAUUAUAUUUCCAUUCAUGCUAUGAAGGUGAACAUAUGUUUGCAAUUUGGCCAUACUAACCCUUUCUCCUAAUGUAGUAGCUCUUUUUAUCUCAUCAUAUUUCAUGAUGACUUUGGAGUUCCCAUUAUAACAUAUAUGUACAUGUAUAUAUAUUAUAAAAAGGUCCCAGCAUUCUUGAGUCAGAAAUUUUGAUGUGCUAUGCUUUUUAACUGCAGUAAAUAUAUAGAGUUUCUUGGAAUAUGAGGCAUGGACAUGGUCACAAGAUUCAGACAUAACAAGGUAUGGACAAGCUGACAUGAUAAGUAUUUUAGAAGUACGACACAACAUGACAAUUAUUUCAUGUAUAUUUCAAAUAGUAUUAUAAUUUUACACUUAAUGCAAUGUACAUUAUUUAUGUUCAUCAAUAUGCAAUUGUGAGAAACACAGCAGUCAUUCAGAAAAUUAGAGAACAUGAUGUCUAUGUACUUCUGCUCCUGUAUAAGACAUUAAGGGAUAAGGCAAAGGAAAUUGUUUGUGCACUGCCAAUGUUCAACUUAUCUUGAAGCCUCAGGUGUCCAACAUAUACACAGCACGAUAGCAUAAAUAAAUCUGAAUAGCACCAGGGUCCUCCUAAUAUGAAUUUGAAGUUAUCAACAUAUCACUUGUUUAGAAUAUGAAUGAUUGGAAGGGCAUGUGCUUAUAUCCACAUUGUUCCAGAUGCAAAUAUAAGUUGUCGAUCAUGUUAAAUUAUUUUUCUAUUGACAUAAGCCAUACAUCAGCUUUAUUCUUGUGAACUUUGUUUAGGUCAAAGCUCUAUAUUAUCAUUUAGGAGAAAGUUGAGUUGUUGGGGAAGGGAAAUUUGCAGUGUUCCACUGUUCUUUCACUUGUAUGUUAACAUAGUUGGUGAACAUUUCCAAGAUCUUCUUUAACUCAUUUUUCUUUCCUCCUUUCUGCUGAAACUGUCUCCCAACAUAUAUCUGUACUGUUAGAUAAAUUUGAUGUUCCAUUCCAUUAUUAGAAUUUUUUUUUCCCCUUAUAUGUGUUGAUGACACAUUAGAAAUUGAUUAGCAAGUUCUCCGAUAAAUUUUGAGUAUGCCAGAAAGAAGAUCCAGUAUGACCCUCCUGCCGAUUGCUUUCGAGCUGCUUUGACUGCUUUGGAGAAAAGGUAACUUCUUCCCCUUCAUUAACCUUCAUCUUCCACUUUGGGUCAAUCUUUGCCCAUUUUACUGUCAUUUACUCACUGCUGACCUGUUUUGGGAGCGUGAGACGCACAAUUCAGCAACUCUGUGGUGGUGCUGAAGCCACUUGUGAUGGUUAUUGUACAAAAGCAAGCCCAGCUUCGACCAUCUUUCCAGCUUCUUGUUGCAAGAAGUCAUGAGAAGAGGGGCAAGUAACAGCAGCAGCAGAGCCUUUAUGGCGGCGAUGGCGAUGCACAACAAUCCCUGUGGAGCUGACCACAUGGCAGUACUCCUCGAGUGCCUUCAUAUCUUAGCUUGCUUGGUCGGUUGGUUUGGUUCGACAGUCAAAAACUUGUGCUCAUCAAAGCACAAGCAGCAGCAGAGGUAGAAGAAGAAGAAGAAGACAGAGAAGAAAAUAUUACCGACUACUUGUUCUGGACCACACCUAUACGAUCAUGUUGUACAUGAUUUAUGGCAUGAGAACUGUCAUUGAUGUGCUCAUGACACAGCAUUGUGGUAACAUCCAUUUACCUUUUCCAUGAGAAGUAUCGAUGAUGCACACCACCGUGGAGAAUCCGCCUUGCACUGAGGUGGAGUAAGGAAAGGGGAAGGAAGAAGAGGUUGAUCCACUGCAGCAAGUAAUAGUUUGUCCUCUGCAUGAAACAUGCCUUUUGAGCCACGCAAGCUCAUUGGAUGAUGCAACCUUAGAUACUUCCCUUUCCUGCACCAAACUCCGUGCGUGCUCUCUCUCUCUCUCGGCUCUCUUCGUGGUAAAGCGGGAGUUAUGAGCAUGUGGGUUGUGUCUGUUCAUGCCAUCGCCACACUGCAACACCUUUCUCUGCGUUCGGAGGAGGAUUUAAGCCUCAGAAUGGUGCCUCCCAGAGUUAUAUUUCCCUUUAACUGUUAGAUUUUUGAUGUAUAUACUUAGAUUUAGUCUCA